UUGAGGAAUGUGCAAAGGAAGGCUGGGGCCAAGCUCCUGAAGGCCCAGCUGCUCCUUAGAGAGCCGUAGGAGUUCAAUUCACAGAAGCCUCAGGCCAUCAGUUCACCUUGACACCAGUCUGUCCAGUCUGAUAAGCUCCUGCCCCUAAGGAAGAAGCUGGGCUCUUGGACAGUUCCAUGGUUGGCAUUCUAGUCAAGUGGUUUGGAAGGGCAGCGGGGCAAAGGAAUUAAAGAUUUUGAAGAGAUGGCUACAAUGAGCUUAUCAUGUCCCCUCCACUCGCAUACUCUGCAACAGAGGCAUGUGGAUGUUCCUGCCAAGUUGUCCUGCCAGCCCGAGACACCUUCUGGCCCACUUAUACCACAGCCUCUACACACCUUGGUGGCUGACUGUGAGGACACUUUCUGAGUUUCUUUCCAGAGUCUAAUGUGAGUGCAGAGCUUCUGAGGUCUCGGAGGUUGGGAGGCCUGCGAACCCUCUUCUCCAGCCAGUUUGUCCAUCUGGCCUUUUCCAUACUGGCAGAGCCACA